GGAAAGAGCGUUCUGUUUGGCUGUCAGUAUGUGUGCACUGAAAGCCUGGGCAUUUUCCGGGUUUACAGCCUUCGUUUCUCACUAACUUUUAGAGAUGCUGCAGGUUCUACAGCUCAGCAGACACAGGUGGAGUGAGCUUGCAGGGCUGGGACAGACCUGCUGAGGAGGUGUACCUCGGUCCGGCAUCCUGUCUCUAACAAUCCUGGAAAGUGGAAGCUACCCACCGGAUGCUGUUCUCUGCGCUUGCACUUGUGGGCUCCUGGAGAGCAGCCUUAAAUGACGAGAUUGUCCUAAAAUUCAUCCGGAAAAAGAAUGGCAAGAAUGAGGACAAUUCUGAAGAGAGAGGCUAGAGCCACCGACCUGAGUCAACAGAGCAGUGAAGAGUCUGACUAGGCGGACAUCACAGGAAGAACACAAUGCAGGAGCAGUGACCCCAAACCAACAAACGCUCUCAGACAAUGAAGAAUAAACCAGGUCAGUGGGACGGAGAGAAUCACACAAACAGCUCUUAGAAGACAGCUAACUGAUAUGCAAAAAUCAGCUCAAGCCCUUCCUCACACCAAAAUGUAUCUACUGUGAAUUAGACAAACAUAAAACAAGUCACGACUACUCCAACCCCACAGCUUUUAGAAGAGGUGUCAACCCUACAGCUAGACCAGGACACUUACAACCACCAAUGACUGACGGACAACAGUUAAUUUGUAUGUUUCACAAGAAUCAAUUCUGGUGUUUGUUUUCCCAAAUAGGGUUUCUCUGUGUAGCCCUGGCUGUCCUGGAACUCACUCUGUAGAGCAGGCUGGCCUGGUCUCGGAGAUCUGUCUGCCUCUGUCUCCAGAGUACUGGGAUUAAAGGCGUGUUGCCACCGAAACCUUCUCACAAGAAUCAGAACUGAAAUAACCUCGAACUUUUUCACAUCCCCCCUCAACCAAAGAAAAUAUAAAUACAGAUUAAUAAAAUGUAUUAGAAAAACGUUAAGCCCUUAGGAUUUAAAUGAUCUAUUUCAUGUAAACAGAACUAUGAGCAGUCGGUAAAUGCAUGGCAAACAGUUUUCAUCUAUUAGGGCAACAGUAAUUUUUUUUUACAUAUUAUCUGUCUGCAUUUAGUGGACGGACACAUGUCAAGGGGCAAUUGUGAGGGUCAGAGGACAGCUUAAGAGUCAGUUCUCUCUUCCUGCUAUGUUGGUCCCAGGGAACAGAACCCAGGGGUGGCAGCCACUGUGCCAUCUUACCCGUCCGACUCCAGCGGCACAGAGAACAGUAAGUGCACUGUGUCGGGGCUUUGACAACAGAGCUGCGGACUUUGCUCAC
rnacentral:lncRNA from 1 species